rnacentral:rRNA from 1 species
UGGGGAAUAUUGCACAAUGGGCGCAAGCCUGAUGCAGCCAUGCCGCGUGUGUGAAGAAGGCCUUCGGGUUGUAAAGCACUUUCAGCGAGGAGGAAGGUGGUGAGCUUAAUACGCUCAUCAAUUGACGUUACUCGCAGAAGAAGCACCGGCUAACUCCGUGCCAGCAGCCGCGGUAAUACGGAGGGUGCAAGCGUUAAUCGGAAUUACUGGGCGUAAAGCGCACGCAGGCGGUUUGUUAAGUCAGNUGUGAAAUCCCCGGGCUCAACCUGGGAACUGCAUUUGAAACUGGCAAGCUAGAGUCUCGUAGAGGGGGGUAGAAUUCCAGGUGUAGCGGUGAAAUGCGUAGAGAUCUGGAGGAAUACCGGUGGCGAAGGCGGCCCCCCUGGACGAAGACUGACGCUCAGGUGCGAAAGCGUGGGGCAGCAAACAGGAUUAGAUACCCUGGUAGUCCAGCGCUGUAAACGAUGUCGAUUUGGAGGUUGUGCCCUUGAGGCGUGGCUUCCGGAGCUAACGCGUUAAAUCGACCGCCUGGGGAGUACGGCCGCAAGGUUAAAACUCAAAGGAAUUGACGGGGUC